GAUGAACGCUGGCGGCGUGCCUAAUACAUGCAAGUCGAGCGAACAGAUGAGGAGCUUGCUCCUCUGACGUUAGCGGCGGACGGGUGAGUAACACGUGGAUAACCUACCUAUAAGACUGGGAUAACUUCGGGAAACCGGAGCUAAUACCGGAUAAUAUAUUGAACCGCAUGGUUCAAUAGUGAAAGACGGUUUUGCUGUCACUUAUAGAUGGAUCCGCGCCGCAUUAGCUAGUUGGUAAGGUAACGGCUUACCAAGGCAACGAUGCGUAGCCGACCUGAGAGGGUGAUCGGCCACACUGGAACUGAGACACGGUCCAGACUCCUACGGGGGGCAGCAGUAGGGAAUCUUCCGCAAUGGGCGAAAGCCUGACGGAGCAACGCCGCGUGAGUGAUGAAGGUCUUCGGAUCGUAAAACUCUGUUAUUAGGGAAGAACAAAUGUGUAAGUAACUGUGCACGUCUUGACGGUACCUAAUCAGAAAGCCACGGCUAACUACGUG
rnacentral:rRNA from 1 species